rnacentral:rRNA from 1 species
CUAAUACAUGCAUGUUUAACGGGAUGUAGCAAUACAUUCAGUAGCGAAUGGGUGAGUAACACGUACCUAACCUACCUUUAAGACUGGGAUAACUAUUGGAAACAAUAGCUAAUACCGGAUAUAGUUAUUUAUCGCAUGAUGAGUAAUAGAAAGGAGCUUCACAGCUUCACUUAAAAAUGGGGGUGCGGAACAUUAGUUAGUUGGUAGGGUAAUGGCCUACCAAGACGAUGAUGUUUAGCCGGGCCGAGAGGCUGUACGGCCACACUGGGACUGAGAUACGGCCCAGACUCCUACGGGAGGCAGCAGUAAGGAAUUUUCCACAAUGAGCGAAAGCUUGAUGGAGCGACACAGCGUGCAGGAUGAAGUUCUUCGGAAUGUAAACUGCUGUUAUAAGGGAAGAAAAAAUAGAAUAGGAAAUGAUUUUAUCUUGACGGUACCUUAUUAGAAAGCGACGGCAAACUAUGUGCCAGCAGCCGCGGUAAUACAUAGGUCGCAAGCGUUAUCCGGAAUUAUUGGGCGUAAAGCGUCCGUAGGUUUUUUGCUAAGUCUGGAGUUAAAUGCUGAAGCUCAACUUCAGUCCGCUUUGGAUACUGGCAAAAUAGAAUUAUAAAGAGGUUAGCGGAAUUCCUAGUGAAGCGGUGGAAUGCGUAGAUAUUAGGAAGAACACCAAUAGGCGAAGGCAGCUAACUGGUUAUAUAUUGACACUAAGGGACGAAAGCGUGGGGAGCAAACAGGAUUAGAUACCCUGGUAGUCCACGCCGUAAACGAUGAUCAUUAGUUGGUGGAAUAAUUUCACUAACGCAGCUAACGCGUUAAAUGAUCCGCCUGAGUAGUAUGCUCGCAAGAGUGAAACUUAAAGGAAUUGACGGGAACCCGCACAAGCGGUGGAGCAUGUGGUUUAAUUUGAUGUUACGCGUAGAACCUUACCCACUCUUGACAUCUUCUGCAAAGCUAUAGAGAUAUAGUGGAGGUUAACAGAAUGACAGAUGGUGCAUGGUUGUCGUCAGCUCGUGUCGUGAGAUGUUAGGUUAAGUCCUGCAACGAGCGCAACCCUUUUCUUUAGUUACUAAUAUUAAGUUAAGGACUCUAGAGAUACUGCCUGGGUAACCAGGAGGAAGGUGGGGACGACGUCAAAUCAUCAUGCCUCUUACGAGUGGGGCAACACACGUGCUACAAUGGUCGGUACAAAGAGAAGCAAUAUGGUGACAUGGAGCAAAUCUCAAAAAACCGAUCUCAGUUCGGAUUGAAGUCUGCAACUCGACUUCAUGAAGUCGGAAUCGCUAGUAAUCGUAGAUCAGCUACGCUACGGUGAAUACGUUCUCGGGUUUUGUACACACCGCCCGUCACACCAUGGGAGUUGGUAAUGCCCAAAGUCGGUGAG